AUUGAACGCUGGCGGCAGGCCUAACACAUGCAAGUCGAACGAGUGGCGGACGGGUGAGUAAUGCCUAGGAAUCUGCCUGGUAGUGGGGGAUAACGUCCGGAAACGGGCGCUAAUACCGCCUACCCUCCGAUGUGCCCAGAUGGGAGUAGCUUGGUGGUGGGGUAACGGCUCACCAAGGCGACGAUCCCUAGCUGGUCUGCGAGGAUGACCAGCCACACUGGAACUGAGACACGGGCCAGACUCCUACGGGAGGCAGCAGUGGGGAAUAUUGCACAAUGGGCGCAAUCCUGAUGCAGCCAUGCCGCGUGUAUGAAGAAGGCCUUCGGGUUGUAAAGUACUUUCAGCGGGGAGGCGUUACCCGCAGAAGAAGCACCGGCUAACUCCGUGCCAGCAGCCGCGGUAAUUC
rnacentral:rRNA from 1 species